CGGACGGGUGAGUAAUGUCUGGGAAACUGCCCGAUGGAGGGGGAUAACUACUGGAAACGGUAGCUAAUACCGCAUAACGUCGCAAGACCAAAGAGGGGACCUUCGGGCCUCUUGCCAUCGGAUGUGCCCAGAUGGGAUUAGCUAGUAGGUGGGGUAAAGGCUCACCUAGGCGACGAUCCCUAGCUGGUCUGAGAGGAUGAUCAGCCACACUGGGACUGAGACACGGCCCAG
rnacentral:rRNA from 1 species